ACAUAUUUUUAACAAAGUUUUAUUUUUUAGGUAUUACAAUUUUGCUGACCAAGAAUCCAAUUUUAAUAACGCGUCAACAUAUUUAAAUUGCAAAAUAACACAUAACUAGUUUGGACAUUGGUAUCUUUUCUGAAGGGAAAGUGCAUCUAGUUGGAUGCGUUAAACAGGUUGUCAAACCCGUUCCCAUUUGCAACGAGGAGAGACAAACUGCUUUGAAAAAUGAGUAUGCAAUUGCCAAAAAGCUUCAGUGGCUGCUAUUAAAAUUCUUCAACUAUCGACGGUGGACAUAAUUGUGGAAGACUUUUAAACUAGGUACAUUCUGAUAGGUACCUAUUUCCUCUAAUUUGUGUUCUUAUUUUACCCAUGUUUCCCCCCCACCACCCAUUAGAAAGUAAUUAGUUACUUUAUUUAAACAAAAAAAACUAUCAUAUACGCCGUGGAGUUAUGUUUGUGAAUAAAAUUAUUUUGUCAAUGACCAAUAUUUAAUAAAACUUUAUUUUUAAAUUUUAUAAUAAAUAAGAAAAGUAGGUGCCUAUUUAAAAUCAUUAUGGACUAUACCAUCAUACAUUCAUAUUUGUCGUAUCGAUAUUUUAUAUGUAUUUUAAAAUUUAGAAAUAUAUGACUAAUGUACCUAGUAAUGUGGUGUUGUAAAUUAUUGUUAUACCUGCAGCAGUUAUUUGUACAUACUGUGUGAGAAAAAAUCAAAUCAUGAUAUACUAUAAAAUUUAACUGUAGCCAUAUAAAACAAUUAAAAAUUUUGUUUUUCAUGUCUAUGGACUUAAAACUAAUUAACUUCAACCUUUUAACUCAAUUUUUUCUGUGUUUAUCAACUCGAUAAAUUUUAAUAUGAUUGGAGGGCGGAUUCGUAUGAUUUUACAUAUUUAUAUUGUGGUUGAUGGUAUGUUAUUAUGCUAAUAGUGGCCCCAGAAUUCGUUUCAAGACAAUUACGAUUUGAACUGUGAAUCUUUUCUGGUGCAUAAUACGAAAACUAACCAACUUUUUUCAUUUUAUCGACUUACUUAAGAUAUUUUUUUUUAUCGACAUAAAUUAUGAAAAAACUAAAAUAGUCAAAAAUGUCAUGUGUAUGUGAACACCUCGACACGGAUCUAAAAAUGUGGUAAAUGUUAUGGUUUUUAAAUUCUAAUAUAAACAAUCAGUGUAAAUUGCAUGUAUCUACAGUAAUUUAUUUCAGAGUAACACCACUACACGAAAAACCAAAACCUAUGCACGUUUUCCUAAAUUUCUUUUCUUGUUUUUCCAGGCCCAUUUGGAGACUAGGUAGGUGCUGUUCAUUUCGACAUCCCCUAUGCACCUCGUAUAUUCACUUUCCCAACGGAAAAUAUGAAAAGCGAAGCAUUAUUUCGACUACCUACUUAUCGUGUACACCGCCCCAAAUAAUAAUGUAUUACGCAGAACGUACAUUUGCUAAUAGUUUCAAUAUAGUUGGAUUCACUCUGAUUUUUAAACUGACGACGCUAAAUGUGAUGUGCUCAUCGUAAACAUUCUAUAUUAGACGGAGACGAUAAAAUGCCCGUGUUACGUCUUAAAUCGUGGAGCUGCAUCGUUCACGAAAUUUCAAAAAUUUAAUGCCCGCGAUUCUGUCUUAUCACUAUGUACGACGAAAUAGUAGGUAAUAAUCGUUAUCAAAUAAAUAAUAAUGUUAUUAUUUUUUCGUUUGCCGACUUUAAAUUUGAAUCACUCGCGAAUCGCAAUUAUUUGAAAUUUGAGUAAAAAAUACGGACUACAGAACAGUCGUACAGAGUUCUAUUCAUACAUUUUAAUACAAAAUCACCAUGGAUAAGUGUAUUGUUUUUAGUAAAACAUGCAAAGUAUCGCCUCGCCAUAUUACGUACAUUUUCAUUUAUUUCCAAAAAAUCAAUGAAAUAGAAAGAAAUAAUGGCUAAAAAUCUUCGAAUAAUUAAAUGAUUAUCCCCAUUUCUAUCAGUCAUAGUAUCUGUGGUAAUCAUUUCACAACUACUAGUGAUUGUAAACAAUGUUCUCAAAACAUAAUCCAAACCACUUGUCUGGGAGAGAGAAGUAAAAUAAAUUUUAUUAAUUUACGGCAACAUUGGUGUAGUACCUACUCUGCGCACGACUAGUAAAUCGCAUCUAAGAGAACAUUUUCUUUCUCCAACGAUGGGUUAGAAGUAAAUGAACAGACGAAUAAAGGAUUUGGAUAGGCCAUGAUUUUAAUUCACCCAUAAAAGCCUUAGAUACCCGGUAAUGUCCAAUUCACACACACUUAUUUCAUACAGUGGAUUAUACUUACUAUGGUUUUCAAAACUCAAAUUUAUGAUGUAAUCACAUACACGCAACUGGGAAGUGGAGCCAAUGUAUUGACAAAUUUUCAGACGUUGACUUCCUUGGAGAUAAUUCUACCCCACUCAGAUGAAGCCAUACAAUAUUGGAGAGAUAUUAUGAAACCUAAAGGUAUUACAAUUUUGCUGACCAAGAAUCCACUUUAAUAACGCGUCAACAUAUUUAAAUUGCAAAAUAACACAUAACUAGUUUGGACAUUGGUAUCUUUUCUGAAGGGAAAGUGCAUCUAGUUGGAUGCGUUAAACAGGUUGUCAAACCCGUUCCCAUUUGCAACGAGGAGAGACAAACUGCUUUGAAAAAUGAGUAUGCAAUUGCCAAAAAGCUUCAGUGGCUGCUAUUAAAAUUCUUCAACUAUCGACGGUGGACAUAAUUGUGGAAGACUUUUAAACUAGGUACAUUCUGAUAGGUACCUAUUUCCUCUAAUUUGUGUUCUUAUUUUACCCAUGUUUCCCCCCCACCACCCAUUAGAAAGUAAUUAGUUACUUUAUUUAAACAAAAAAAACUAUCAUGCACGCCGUGGAGUUAUGUUUGUGAAUAAAAUUAUUUUGUCAAUGACCAAUAUUUAAAAAAACUUUAUUUUUAAAUUUUAUAAUAAAUAAGAAAAGUAGGUGCCUAUUUAAAAUCAUUAUGGACUAUACCAUCAUACAUUCAUAUUUGUCGUAUCGAUAUUUUAUAUGUAUUUUAAAAUUUAGAAAUAUAUGACUAAUGUACCUAGUAAUGUGGUGUUGUAAAUUAUUGUUAUACCUGCAGCAGUUAUUUGUACAUACUAUGUGAGAAAAAAAUAAAUCAUGAUAUACUAUAAAAUUUAACUGUAGCCAUAUAAAACAAUUAAAAAUUUUGUUUUUCAUGUCUAUGGACUUAAAACUAAUUAACUUCAACCUUUUAACUCAAUUUUUUCUGUGUUUAUCAACUCGAUAAAUUUUAAUAUGAUUGGAGGGCGGAUUCGUAUGAUUUUACAUAUUUAUAUUGUGGUUGAUGGUAUGUUAUUAUGCUAAUAGUGGCCCCAGAAUUCGUUUCAAGACAAUUACGAUUUGAACUGUGAAUCUUUUCUGGUGCAUAAUACGAAAACUAACCAACUUUUUUCAUUUUAUCGACUUACUUAAGAUAUUUUUUUUUUAUCGACAUAAAUUAUGAAAAAACUAAAAUAGUCAAAAAUGUCAUGUGCAUGUGAACACCUCGACACGGAUCUAAAAAUGUGGUAAAUGUUAUGGUUUUUAAAUUCUAAUAUAAACAAUCAGUGUAAAUUGCAUGUAUCUACAGUAAUUUAUUUCAGAGUAACACCACUACACGAAAAACCAAAACCUAUGCACGUUUUCCUAAAUUUCUUUUCUUGUUUUUCCAGGCCCAUUUGGAGACUAGGUAGGUGCUGUUCAUUUCGACAUCCCCUAUGCACCUCGUAUAUUCACUUUCCCACCGGAAAAUAUGAAAAGCGAAGCAUUAUUUCGACUACAUACUUAUCGUGUACACCGCCCCAAAUAAUAAUGUAUUACGCAGAACGUACAUUUGCUAAUAGUUUCAAUAUAGUUGGAUUCACUCUGAUUUUUAAACUGACGACGCUAAAUGUGAUGUGCUCAUCGUAAACAUUCUAUAUUAGACGGAGACGAUAAAAUGCCCGUGUUACGUCUUAAAUCGUGGAGCUGCAUCGUUCACGAAAUUUCAAAAAUUUAAUGCCCGCGAUUCUGUCUUAUCACUAUGUACGACGAAAUAGUAGGUAAUAAUCGUUAUCAAAUAAAUAAUAAUGUUAUUAUUUUUUCGUUUGCCGACUUUAAAUUUGAAUCACUCGCGAAUCGCAAUUAUUUGAAAUUUGAGCAAAAAAUACGGACUACAGAACAGUCGUACAGAGUUCUAUUCAUACAUUUUAAUACAAAAUCACCAUGGAUAAGUGUAUUGUUUUUAGUAAAACAUGCAAAGUAUCGCCUCGCCAUAUUACGUACAUUUUCAUUUAUUUCCAAAAAAUCAAUGAAAUAGAAAGAAAUAAUGGCUAAAAAUCUUCGAAUAAUUAAAUGAUUAUCCCCAUUUCUAUCAGUCAUAGUAUCUGUGGUAAUCAUUUCACAACUACUAGUGAUUGUAAACAAUGUUCUCAAAACAUAAUCCAAACCACUUGUCUGGGAGAGAGAAGUAAAAUAAAUUUUAUUAAUUUACGGCAACAUUGGUGUAGUACCUACUCUGCGCACGACUAGUAAAUCGCAUCUAAGAGAACAUUUUCUUUCUCCAACGAUGGGUUAGAAGUAAAUGAACAGACGAAUAAAGGAUUUGGAUAGGCCAUGAUUUUAAUUCACCCAUAAAAGCCUUAGAUACCCGGUAAUGUCCAAUUCACACACACUUAUUUCAUACAGUGGAUUAUACUUACUAUGGUUUUCAAAACUCAAAUUUAUGAUGUAAUCACAUACACGCAACUGGGAAGUGGAGCCAAUGUAUUGACAAAUUUUCAGACGUUGACUUCCUUGGAGAUAAUUCUACCCCACUCAGAUGAAGCCAUACAAUAUUGGAGAGAUAUUAUGAAACCUAAAGGUAUUACAAUUUUGCUGACCAAGAAUCCAAUUUUAAUAACGCGUCAACAUAUUUAAAUUGCAAAAUAACACAUAACUAGUUUGGACAUUGGUAUCUUUUCUGAAGGGAAAGUGCAUCUAGUUGGAUGCGUUAAACAGGUUGUCAAACCCGUUCCCAUUUGCAACGAGGAGAGACAAACUGCUUUGAAAAAUGAGUAUGCAAUUGCCAAAAAGCUUCAGUGGCUGCUAUUAAAAUUCUUCAACUAUCGACGGUGGACAUAAUUGUGGAAGACUUUUAAACUAGGUACAUUCUGAUAGGUACCUAUUUCCUUUAAUUUGUGUUCUUAUUUUACCCAUGUUUCCCCCCCACCACCCAUUAGAAAGUAAUUAGUUACUUUAUUUAAACAAAAAAAACUAUCAUACACGCCGUGGAGUUAUGUUUGUGAAUAAAAUUAUUUUGUCAAUGACCAAUAUUUAAUAAAACUUUAUUUUUAAAUUUUAUAAUAAAUAAGAAAAGUAGGUGCCUAUUUAAAAUCAUUAUGGACUAUACCAUCAUACAUUCAUAUUUGUCGUAUCGAUAUUUUAUAUGUAUUUUAAAAUUUAGAAAUAUAUGACUAAUGUAGGUACCUAGUAAUGUGGUGUUGUAAAUUAUUGUUAUACCUGCAGCAGUUAUUUGUACAUACUAUGUGAGAAAAAAAUAAAUCAUGAUAUACUAUAAAAUUUAACUGUAGCCAUAUAAAACAAUUAAAAAUUUUGUUUUUCAUGUCUAUGGACUUAAAACUAAUUAACUUCAACCUUUUAACUCAAUUUUUUCUGUGUUUAUCAACUCGAUAAAUUUUAAUAUGAUUGGAGGGCGGAUUCGUAUGAUUUUACAUAUUUAUAUUGUGGUUGAUGGUAUGAUAUUAUGCUAAUAGUGGCCGCAGAAUUCGUUUCAAGACAAUUACGAUUUGAACUGUGAAUCUUUUCGGGUGCAUAAUACGAAAAUUAACCAACUUUUUUUCAUUUUAUCAAACUUAUUUAAGAUAUUUUUUUUUAUCGACAUAAAUUAUGAAAAAACUAAAAUAGUCAAAAAUUUCAUGUGCAUGUGAACACCUCGACACGGAUCUAAAAAUGUCGUAAAUGUUAUGGUUUUUAAAUUCUAAUAUAAACAAUCAGUGAAAAUUGCAUGUAUCUACAGUAAUUUAUUUUAGAGUAACACCACUGCACGAAAAACCAAAACCUAUUUUACGUUAAAAUGCACGUUUUCCUAAAUUUCUUUUCUUGUUUUUCCAUGCCCAUUUGGAUACUAGGUAGGUGCUGUUCAUUUCGACAUCCCCUAUGCACCUCGUAUAUUCACUUUCCCACCGGAAAAUAUGAAAAGCGAAGCAUUAUUUCGACUACCUACUUACCGUGUACACCGCCCCAAAUAAUAAUGUAUUACGCAGAACGUACAUUUGCUAAUAGUUUCAAUAUAGUUGGAUUCACUCUGAUUUUUAAACUGACGACGCUAAAUGUGAUGUGCUCAUCGUAAAUAUUCUAUAUUAGACGGAGACGAUAAAAUGCCCGUGUUACGUCUUAAAUCGUGGAGCUGCAUCGUUCACGAAAUUUCAAAAAUUUAAUGCCCGCGAUUCUGUCUUAUCACUAUGUACGACGAAAUAGUAGGUAAUAAUCGUUAUCAAAUAAAUAAUAAUGUUAUUAUUUUUUCGUUUGCCGACUUUAAAUUUGAAUCACUCGCGAAUCGCAAUUAUUUGAAAUUUGAGCAAAAAAUACGGACUACAGAACAGUCGUACAGAGUUCUAUUCAUACAUUUUAAUACAAAAUCACCAUGGAUAAGUGUAUUGUUUUUAGUAAAACAUGCAAAGUAUCGCCUCGCCAUAUUACGUACAUUUUCAUUUAUUUCCAAAAAAUCAAUGAAAUAGAAGGAAAUAAUGGCUAAAAAUCUUCGAAUAAUUAAAUGAUUAUCCCCAUUUCUAUCAGUCAUAGUAUCUGUGGUGAUCGUUUCACAACUACUAGUGAUUGUAAACAAUGUUCUCAAAACAUAAUCCAAACCACUUGUCUGGGAGAGAGAAGUAAAAUAAAUUUUAUUAAUUUACGGCAACAUUGGUGUAGUACCUACUCUGCGCACGACUAGUAAAUCGCAUCUAAGAGAAAAUUUUCUUUCUCCAACGAUGGGUUAGAAGUAAAUGAACAGACGAUUAAAGGAUUUGGAGGCCAUGAUUUUAAUUCACCCAUAAAAGCCUUAGAUACCCGAUAAUGUCCAAUUCACACACACUUAUUUCAUACAGUGGAUUAUACUUACUAUGGUAUUCAAAACUCAAAUUUAUGAUGUAAUCACAUACACGCAACUGGGAAGUGGAGCCAAUGUAUUGACAAAUUUUCAGACGUUGACUUUCUUGGAGAUAAUUCUACCCACUCAGAUGAAGCCAUACAAUAUUGGAGAGAAAUUAUGAAACUUAAAGGUAUUACAAUUUUGCUGACCAAGAAUCCAAUUUUAAUAACGCGUCAACAUAUUUCAAUUGCAAAAUAACACAUAACUAGUUUGGACAUUGGUAUCUUUUCUGAAGGGAAAGUGCAUCUAGUUGGAUGCGUUAAACAGGUUGUCAAACCCGUUCCCAUUUGCAACGAGGAGAGACAAACUGCUUUGAAAAAUGAGUAUGCAAUUGCCAAAAAGCUUCAGUGGCUGCUAUUAAAAUUCUUCAACUAUCGACGGUGGACAUAAUUGUGGAAGACUUUUAAACUAGGUCUUAUUCUAAACAAUUGGAACAAAAGCCACCUCCUGCUGUUUUCGCACAUAUCAUUUGUGAAAUCGUAAUUGUUGUACAACAUUUUUUGACAAACGUUUCGCCUGUCAGAGUGGUUGGCGUGAACAUGAGCUGUGAAAAGAUAUAUAUUGAAGAUGUUGCUGACUGGCUGUUAAAAGUAUUGAGGUGUCCUACUGUAUAUUGGUGGUCAAAUAAUAAAGAAUUUUAGAAUGGAGAAUAUCUUGCUUAAAAAAAAUGGGGACAAUUGUCCUCACAAAUUACAUUUUUAGAUUCGACUUAUUGUAGAUAAAUUUGAAUCUUCAUUAUCUUAUCAUGAAUCCUUACAACGGCUCAGUCAGCUAGUUCAAUAAUGGAGUAUUAUUGAAAAUAAUUUAAAUAAUAUGUGAAUGCCUCAUAUACCUAAUAUAUGUUUUUUUAUUCACUUAU